CAAGACUUGUUUCUUUUCAGGAUCUACCUCCAGUCACCUGAUCACACUACCAGCUAGUUCUUCACUGUGUUUCUUGGCAGCCAGCAAGCAACCACAGAGAGCAAGAACCAGCAGGAGAAGUAACAACUUGGGAGAGAAAAGGGAGGGAGCAGAGCACAGACCUGUUUCUGGAACACACCGGAGGGAGUGCUUUACCUUACCUUGGAUACACCGACAGUACCACUGGAUGUCACUGUUGCUUCAUGAAAGUCAAAAGAUGUACCAGGUGUCACCACAGAAUUUGGAGAAGCUGAAGCCAAGGUGCCACUGGGAAACAGGAAUGGCGGAGAGAGAUAGGGAACUAACCAAGUCAUGUGGAACAAAGUGAUUGCUAGAGGUCUGAUCUGCACACGGGUAUGAGGAUUGAUAGGUAAGACUGAAAUCAAAGGCAAGAAACCAUCGUGAAAUAAGAUGUGAUUCACAAACCCAGUGAGCUUUGCCUUGGCUAACCUCUUACCCAAUUCUUUUUCUGUCUGCAGUCUUUAUUUGUAGAUUUCUAACAGCAAAUGAAUGCUGUUAAUUUCUUCAUUUUCAAUACAACAGAUACCACAGAACCAAGGCAUCAGAGCGGGAAAAGACUAAGUAGAUCACUCAGUCCACCUUCCCACUGACUCUUUAUAAGAAUAUUCUAGCCUACAAUGGAAUAUUUCCAGUUAUGGAGUUUUCACAACUGAGAUUUGCUGCAGUUUCCAUUGGCUGGCAGAGCUUACGUUACAUUUUAUCAUGGGGAGCUUGGAUACUUGUUUACCUGAUCCAAUAAAGUUUUGACCUGGAUAUUCA
rnacentral:lncRNA from 1 species